rnacentral:SRP_RNA from 1 species
GCUAAAUACAGUGGCAAGUAUCUUUGAUCCCUGUUAUUGGGGAGGCUGAGGUUGGGGGAUUGCUGAAGUUCAUGAGUUCUGAGUUGUGUGCACUAAAGCUGAUCAGGUGUCUAUACUAAGUUUGGCACAAAUGUGUAAGCCUCAACGUUCAGAGAGCCACCAAGCUGCCUAAAGAAGAGCCAAUUGGCCCAGGUCAGAAAUGGAGAAAGCCAAAGCUCUUGUGCACAUCAGUAAUGGGCCUAAGAGUGAUCAAGGCACUUCCAGCUAUGGAGAGAUAGAAAGACCCAAUCUUA